UGAAAAGGAACCAGCGACGAGAGAUGUCAUC
rnacentral:piRNA from 1 species